AGCGAACGCUGGCGGCAGGCCUAACACAUGCAAGUCGAACGAACCUUUCGGGGUUAGUGGCGGACGGGUGAGUAACACGUGGGGACGUGCCUUUAGGUUCGGAAUAACUCAGGGAAACUUGUGCUAAUACCGAAUGUGCCCUUCGGGGGAAAGAUUUAUCGCCGUUAGAGCGGCCCGCGUCUGCUUAGCUAGUUGGUUGAGGUAAUGGCUCACCAAGGCUAGGAGCAGUAGCUGGUCUGAGAGGAUGAUCAGCCACAUUGGGACUGAGACACGGCCCAAAAUACUACGGGAAGGAGCAGUGGGGAAUCUUGCGCAAUGGGGGAAAGCCUGACGCAGCCAUGCCGCGUGAAUGAUGAAGGUCUUAGGAUUGUAAAAUUCUUUCACCGGGGACGAUAAUGACGGUACCAGGAGAAGAAGCCCCGGCUAACUUCGUG
rnacentral:rRNA from 1 species